GACGAACCGUGCGAACGUUAUUCGGAAUCACUGGGCUUAAAGCGCGUGUAGGCGGGCCGGCACGUCGGCUGCUGAAAUCCCCCGGCUCAACCGGGGAAGGGGCACCGAUACGACCGGCCUGGAGGGGGGUAGGGGGGACGGGAACUUCCGGUGGAGCGGUGAAAUGCGUUGAGAUCGGAAGGAACGCCCGCGGCGAAAGCGCGUCCCUGGACCCCACCUGACGCUGAGACGCGAAAGCCAGGGGAGCGAACGGG
rnacentral:rRNA from 1 species